AACUCUUCAUCAUAGUGAAAUCUUCCACAAGGGAAAUUUUUGAACUUCAUACUGCAUGACCUGAAAUAAUAAAAUAACUAUGUCAAAAGAUGAUAAUAUUGUAGAAAAACAUCGCAAAAUUCACAAGAAAGAGCAGAAACAAUAGAACUAAUCUUUUUCUAAAGGAACUUCAAUAAUUAUAACAUUAAGGUGGGAGAAAAGUACCAUCAGAUGCAACUGGUGUUGCAGAGUCUCAAUUAAUUUUUCCUUCCACCAAGCUACAAAAUAAAGAAAUAUUUGUUUGAGAAAAAAAUACGCAAAACAGAAUGCAAAGAAAAGGAUUGGUUUUAGCUACUUCUGCUACUCAUCAAACCUUAUUAUCCAUCUGCAAUGGAAUGCUACCACAGACCACACUUCUCUGCUCCUUUUUGCGCUUACGUGUCUGACGUUCAGGCUUCUCAGAUAGAGAAUGUCCCCCCUACACUUUGUGUAUGCAUGAAGUAAAUAUAAUCCACCAAAAUCCAGAAUCAACAGGAGCCACGCUUCAUAUUACGCUCUCACCAAAAUCUGCAAUUAAUGUCUCGAUAUUUCUAACCAGAUCAUGGAGUGCUUUGAAGCUAGCUGGCAUUACACCUAGAGGCGUAUCUAGCCUUGUAGGCAGGGUUCAAUUGAACCCCUAAAUUUCGACGCGGAGCAUAAGUUUAUGUGUAAAAAAUUCUUAAAAAUUGUAAUAAAUAGUAGAUAUGAACCCAUAAAUUUUAAAAAUAUAAUAGGUUCAACGCUAAGAAUCUUAGGAUUGAACCCAUAGAGUUUAAAUCCUGGAUCUGCCUGUGAUU